rnacentral:rRNA from 1 species
AUUGAACGCUGGCGGCAGGCCUAACACAUGCAAGUCGAGCGGAGCGGCGGACGGGUGAGUAAUGCCUAGGAAUCUGCCUGGUAGUGGGGGUAACGUUCGGGAACGGGCGCUUAUACCCGCUACCAUCAGAUGAACCUUGGGCGGGUUAGCUAGGUGGUGGGGUAAAGGCCUACCAAGGCGACGAUCCGUAACUGGUCUGAGAGGAUGAUCAGUCACACUGGAACUGAGACACGGUCCAGACUCCUACGGGAGGCAGCAGUGGGGAAUAUUGGACAAUGGGCGAAAGCCUGAUCCAGCCAUGCCGCGUGUGUGAAGAAGGUCUUCGGAUUGUAAAGCACUUUAAGUUGGGAGGCGUUACCAACAGAAUAAGCACCGGCUAACUUCGUGCCAGCAGCCGCGGUAAUUC